UACAGAGGGUGCAAACGUUUGUUCGGAUUUACUGGGCGUAAAGCGCGUGUAGGCGGCGUCGUUUAGUCGGAUGUGAAAGCCCUCGGCUCAACCGAGGAAGUGCAUCCGAUACUGCGAUGCUUGAGUGUUGGAGGGGGUGGCGGAAUUCCCGGUGUAGAGGUGAAAUUCGUAGAUAUCGGGAGGAACACCUGUGGCGAAGGCGGCCACCUGGACGAACAACUGGCG
rnacentral:rRNA from 1 species